UGCAAGUCGAACGAUGAAGCCCAGCUUGCUGGGUGGAUUAGUGGCGAACGGGUGAGUAACACGUGAGCAACGUGCCCAUAACUCUGGGAUAACCUCCGGAAACGGUGGCUAAUACUGGAUAUCUAACAUGAUCGCAUGGUCUGUGUUUGGAAAGAUUUUUUGGUUAUGGAUCGGCUCACGGCCUAUCAGCUUGUUGGUGAGGUAAUGGCUCACCAAGGCGACGACGGGUAGCCGGCCUGAGAGGGUGACCGGCCACACUGGGACUGAGACACGGCCCAGACUCCUACGGGAGGCAGCAGUGGGGAAUAUUGCACAAUGGGCGAAAGCCUGAUGCAGCAACGCCGCGUGAGGGAUGACGGCCUUCGGGUUGUAAACCUCUUUUAGUAGGGAAGAAGCGAAAGUGACGGUACCUGCAGAAAAAGCACCGGCUAACUACGUGCCAGCAGCCGCGGUAAUACGUAGGGUGCAAGCGUUGUCCGGAAUUAUUGGGCGUAAAGAGCUCGUAGGCGGUUUGUCGCGUCUGCUGUGAAAUCCCGAGGCUCAACCUCGGGUCUGCAGUGGGUACGGGCAGACUAGAGUGUGGUAGGGGAGAUUGGAAUUCCUGGUGUAGCGGUGGAAUGCGCAGAUAUCAGGAGGAACACCGAUGGCGAAGGCAGAUCUCUGGGCCAUUACUGACGCUG
rnacentral:rRNA from 1 species